rnacentral:rRNA from 1 species
UACGUAGGGGGCUAGCGUUGUUCGGAUUUACUGGGCGUAAAGCGCGCGCAGGCGGUCCUUCAAGUCAGGGGUGAAAGCCCAGAGCUCAACUCUGGAACUGCCUUUGAGACUGUAGGACUUGGGUAUGGGAGAGGUGAGUGGAAUUCCGAGUGUAGAGGUGAAAUUCGUAGAUAUUCGGAAGAACACCAGUGGCGAAGGCGGCUCACUGGCCCAUUACCGACGCUCAGGCGCGAUAGCGUGGGGAGCAAACAGG